rnacentral:rRNA from 1 species
AACGUAGGUGGCAAGCGUUAUCCGGAUUUACUGGGCGUAAAGCGUGUGCAGGCGGGGGUACAAGUGGUGUAUGAAAUUCCCCAGCUUAACUGGGAAGGGUUAUGCCAGACUGUACUUCUGGAGUGCGAGAGAGGGGCGUGGAAUUCCGGGUGUAGUGGUGAAAUGCGUAGAGAUCCGGAGGAACCCCAGAGGCGAAGGCGGCGUUCUGGACUGUUUCUGACACUGAAAAACGAAAGCCAGGGGAGCAAACGGG